rnacentral:rRNA from 1 species
CCCUUAGAUGUUCUGGGCCGCACGCGCGCUACACUGAUUCAUGCAACAAGUUUUGGCCUUGGCUGAUAGGCCUGGGUAAUCUUUGAACGUGAAUCGUGAUGGGGAUAGAUGAUUGCAAUUAUUCAUCUUCAACGAGGAAUUCCUAGUAAACGCAAGUCAUCAGCUUGCAUUGAUUACGUCCCUGCCCUUUGUACACACCGCCCGUCGCACCUACCGAUUGAAUGGUCCGGUGAAAUCUUCGGAUCUGAGAGAUGUCUGAUUAAUUUCGGACGCCUUUUGGAAAAGUUGCUUAAACCUUACCAUUUAGAGGAAGGUGAAGUCGUANCA